rnacentral:rRNA from 1 species
CCUACGGGCGGCAGCAGUGAGGAAUAUUGGUCAAUGGACGAGAGUCUGAACCAGCCAAGUAGCGUGAAGGAUGACUGCCCUAUGGGUUGUAAACUUCUUUUAUAUGGGAAUAAAAUGUUCCACGUGUGGGAUUUUGUAUGUACCAUAUGAAUAAGGAUCGGCUAACUCCGUGCCAGCAGCCGCGGUAAUACGGAGGAUCCGAGCGUUAUCCGGAUUUAUUGGGUUUAAAGGGAGCGUAGGUGGAUUGUUAAGUCAGUUGUGAAAGUUUGCGGCUCAACCGUAAAAUUGCAGUUGAAACUGGCAGUCUUGAGUACAGUAGAGGUGGGCGGAAUUCGUGGGGUAGCGGUGAAAUGCUUAGAUAUCACGAAGAACUCCGAUUGCGAAGGCAGUUCACUGGACUGCAACUGACACUGAGGCUCGAAAGUGUGGGUAUCAAACAGGAUUAGAUACCCCAGUAGUC